rnacentral:rRNA from 1 species
CGGGGUGGAGUAACGCGUGGGUAACCUGCCUCAUACAGGGGAUAACAGUUAGAAAUGACUGCUAAUACCGCAUAAGCGCACGGAAUCGCAUGAUUCAGUGUGAAAAGCCGAGACGGUAUGAGAUGGACCCGCGUCUGAUUAGGUAGUUGGUGAGGUAACGGCCCACCAAGCCGACGAUCAGUAGCCGACCUGAGAGGGUGACCGGCCACAUUGGGACUGAGACACGGCCCAA